UUCACAAACAUUAUGAACACCCUGUUCUGCCCAAUUGGCUGAAUAGAAGUCUAUCACUAAAGAAUGCAACCUGGUUAAGGGUAGAAUUGUUAAAAAAAAUAUAUAUAUAUAUAAUAAAAAAUAAAUAAAAAAUAAUAUAAAUACUGACGUUUAGGCCCAUGGAUUGUGUCGUCUGUUUGGAGUUGUUUGAAUGCAAUGAGGUUCUAGGAAAAAUUGGAACGCCACUUAUCGAACAAAUAGUUUAAUUGAAUUCUGACUGCACUUCUUGCUGUAUGUAUUACAGCUGCCCAUGAUCUUAGCCUCAGAGGGGGAAGGUAGAGGAAUGAUCUCUGUACUUGCAGGCAACGAUGGAGGGUCACCUGAAGUGUGCUCAAGAUUAUUUAUUAUUUUUUUUCCUUGACCAGGGAUAGGUCUGGCAUACCCUGAUGUGUGUUGGAUACAAUUUGUGCUGAUACUAAACGUAUUUCGGUAGAUGCUCUACCUCUUGCACUAAUGACCUAUCACAUGCAGACUAACAGCAAUAUGUAUCUAACACCGCAUGAAAUGCUUAUGGGUCGACCCAUGUCUGUGUCUGUUCCUUAUGAUGGACGGCCGCUGGAGUAAUUGCAGAUGAAUCGAAAAACAUAUAUAAGACCACUAACUAUUAUGUAUGGAGCUAUCUAUUCACAGGAACACAGCUAAGUGCAGUGUUAUCAGUGUUAUGUGUGAGGCGUCACCGCCUCAACGGGGGGAGGUGUUCGGAGGUGUUCACCCGGAGGUGGGAGUCCCGGAGCCGCGAGAGAAGGCUGACUACAGGGCAGCAGCGGACUAGAACAUGCAACCCCUGGAGGAUGCUCAAUCCUCCAAUGACGAGAUGGUGGGGAACACGUGAAGGUCCGGUACGAAGCGUCAACGGGGGGUCUGCUCUGUGGCAGACAGGAUGAGAAGAUGUGAAGAUCCAUACCCUGGGUGUACGUGCUAGCCUAACCUCUCCCCAAAGGGUGGCUCUCUACAGUACGUAAAGUGCUUGAGCUGAAGACAACCAGCAUACAGAGAGA
ensembl:lncRNA